rnacentral:rRNA from 1 species
CUAACGCGUUAAGUAUCCCGCCUGGGGAGUACGUCCGCAAGAAUGAAACUCAAAGGAAUUGACGGGGGCCCGCACAAGCGGUGGAGCAUGUGGUUUAAUUCGAUGCAAAGCGAAUAACCUUACCAGGGCUUGACAUGCCACGAAUCCUCCUGAAAGAGAGGGGUGCCCUCGGGAACGCGGACACAGGUGGUGCAU